rnacentral:rRNA from 1 species
GACGAACGCUGGCGGCGUGCCUAAUACAUGCAAGUCGAACGCACAGUUUAUACCGUAGCUUGCUACACCAUAGACUGUGAGUUGCGAACGGGUGAGUAACGCGUAGGUAACCUGCCUGGUAGCGGGGGAUAACUAUUGGAAACGAUAGCUAAUACCGCAUAAUAUUGAUUAUUGCAUGAUAAUUAAUUGAAAGGUGCAAUUGCACCACUACCAGAUGGACCUGCGUUGUAUUAGCUAGUAGGUGAGGUAACGGCUCACCUAGGCGACGAUACAUAGCCGACCGGAGAGGGUGAUCGGCCACACUGGGACUGAGACACGGCCCAGACUCCUACGGGAGGCAGCAGUAGGGAAUCUUCGGCAAUGGACGAAAGUCUGACCGAGCAACGCCGCGUGAGGGAAGAAGGUUUUCGGAUCGUAAAGCUCUGUUGUAAGAGAAGAACGGGUGUGAGAGUGGAAAGUUCACACUGUGACGGUAUCUUACCAGAAAGGGACGGCUAACUACGUG